rnacentral:rRNA from 1 species
GAAUAUCCCUUCCCCGCAAGGGGCCGUAAUAUAGGUGCUGCAUGGCUGUCGUCAGCUCGUGUCGUGAGAUGUUGGGUUAAGUCCCGCAACGAGCGCAACCCUUAUCCCCAGUUGCCAUCAUUAAGUUGGGCACUCUGGUGAAACCGCCUCGGAUAACGGGGAGGAAGGUGGGGAUGACGUCAAGUCCUCAUGGCCUUUAUGUCCAGGGCUACACACGUGCUACAAUGGCCGGUACAAACCGUCGCAAACCCGCGAGGGGGAGCUAAUCGGAAAAAGCCGGCCUCAGUUCGGAUCGCAGUCUGCAACUCGACUGCGUGAAGCUGGAAUCGCUAGUAAUCGCGGAUCAGAACGCCGCGGUGAAUACGUUCCCGGGCCUUGUACACACCGCCCGUCACAUCACGAAAGUGGGUUGCACUAGAAGCCGGUGAGCCAACCGCAAGGAGGCAGCCGUCCAAGGUGUAAUUCAUGAUUGGGGUGAAGUCGUAACAAGGUAGCCGUAA